GCCACGUGGCGUAGUGGUUUGAGUGCUGGACUAGGACUCUGGAGAGCAGGGUUUGAAUCUCAGUUGGCC
rnacentral:tRNA from 1 species